GCCGGCAGGGGGCGCGCGCGGGCAGGCGCGGAGGCGGCGCGUCGGGACCCGCGCCCCUCGGCCCGGCGCCGCCUCCCGCGUCCGGGGACCGCAUCUGCCUCAGGCCAGCUGCACCCCGGGGAGGAGGUGCGGGGUGGAGCGGCCCCUCCCCCAAGGCCCCUGCAGGAACCGGAUUCCCGCUGCCAGAGCCAGGGUCUCGCACCAGGGGUGCUUCGAUGGGAGAAGAGUGCAGGGUCUGCUGGACAGAGGACACAGGGCACCACAGUCUACCCCUGCAGUCCUAAAUACAGGGUGUGGUGCACGCCUGUCAUCCCAGCACUCUGGAGGCUGAGGCAGGAGGACCACUGUGGAAAGUUGAGACCAGCCUGGGCUACACAGGGAGUUCGAGGCGAGGCCAGCCUGAACUACAUAGCAAGACCUCAUCUAAAAAAAAUAAAUAAAUAAAAAUAAUCAAAAAGCAAAAAAGAAAGAA